UGAGUACGAGAUGCUACGGCAUCGAAGCAGUCUAUGUCAUACUUCCAAGAAAAGCUUGCACUGUCAGAAACAGAUAAUGCCUGUACCAUAACCGACACAGGUGGGUAGGUAGAGUAUACUAAGGGGCGCGAGAUAACUCUCUCUAAGGAACUCGGCAAAAUGACUCCGUAACUUCGGGAGAAGGAGUGCCUUAUUUUUAAGGUUGCAAUAACAAGAUCCAAGCAACUGUUUACCAAAAACACAGGUCUCCGCUAAGUCGUAAGACGAUGUAUGGGGGCUGACGCCUGCCCAGUGCCAGAAGGUUAAAGAAGUCGGUUAGCAUUCGCGAAGCUGGUAACUGAAGCCCUGGUGAACGGCGGCCGUAACAAUAACGGUCCUAAGGUAGCGAAAUUCCUUGUCGGGUAAGUUCCGACCCGCACGAAAGGCGUAAUGAUUUGGAUACUGUCUCGGAGAGGGGCUCGGUGAAAUAGACUUGUCUGUGAAGAUGCGGACUACCUGCACCUGGACAGAAAGACCCUAUGAAGCUUUACUGUAACUUGAAAUUGAAAUUGGACUUUAUUUGCGCAGUAUAGGUGGGAGGCGUUGAAAAUAUUCUUGCGGGAAUAUUGGAGCCAUCAGUGAGAUACCACUCUUGUAAUGUUAGAUUUCUAACUUUAUAUCAUUAUCUGGUUAAAGAACAGUUUCAGGCGGGCAGUUUGACUGGGGCGGUCGCCUCCCAAAUGGUAACGGAGGCGCACAAAGGUUUCCUCUGAACGGGUAGAAAUCGUAUCUAGAGUGUAAAGGCAUAAGGAAGCUUGACUGUGAGACCUACAAGUCGAGCAGGGACGAAAGUCGGUCUUAGUGAUCUGACGGUGCUGAGUGGAAAGGCCGUCACUCAACGGAUAAAAGUUACUCUAAGGAUAACAGGCUGAUCUCCCCCAAGAGUUCACAUCGACGGGGAGGUUUGGCACCUCGAUGUCGGCUCAUCGCAUCCUGGGGCGGUAGUACGUCCCAAGGGUUGGGCUGUUCGUCCAUGAAAGCGGUACGCGAGCUGGGUUCAGAACGUCGUGAGACAGUUCGGUCCAUAUCCGGUGUAGGCGUUAGAAUAUUGAGAGGAGCCUUCUUUAGUACGAGAGGACCGAGAAGGACAUACCUCUGGUGUACCAGUUAUCGUGCCAACGGUAAACGCUGGGUAGCUAUGUAUGGAGUGGAUAACCGCUGAAAGCAUCUAAGUGGGAAGCCCACCUCAAGAUAAGUAUUCUCAGC
rnacentral:rRNA from 1 species